GUUGCUACUUAGUGAGGAAAACACAGAUAAAUUACAAGGGAGCCUGUCCUCCAGGGACUUAGUUGCAUCAGAGCCGUGGAUCAAAAUGGCGGCCAGGGUCUUGGACGGAACCCGAGACAUGAGUUUGGAUCCUUCGCUGCUUAUCACCCGGGGAAGCCAAGAUGACCUAAGUCCUGUGACUGACCUUUAACCCAGCCUGUGAAAUGGGAGCCGAGAGGGAAUCUGUGAGGUCUCCCUAAGGGUGAAAGGAGAUAAGCCGUGAAGGCGCUGCACACAUGGCAGAUCUAGAAGAUCUAGAGCACGGAAGACAACCACGCAACGGCCACGACAGAUGCUGAAAGUGGACAGAGCUUCAAAGGAGGACCAGCGGGGGAGCAGGGAGAGCUCAAGGUCACGGUGUGUGCUGACGGACAGGGGAAGAGUUGUGGGACAACAAUGGAUCCAGUGCCAAGUUCCACACACCUGUUCUGGAUAAGGAAGACUCAGGACAGAGUACAGAGAGGAGGGUGGAGGAAGCCCAGG
rnacentral:lncRNA from 1 species